AAGAGAUAAGACAGAUAACAAGUCUGAGCACAUUUUUAUAAAUCAGCAUUUUCCCCGAUCGUGAUAUAGCGAGGCAGAGGAAGUCCAUCGUGCUCUUUCCAUCAUACGUAAUAAUUAUCUCUUAUUACUCUGUAAAAGUGGAAACUGUCAAAUAAAACCCGGAUGUUAAUUCUCCCCGAGAGGUCUAGUCAAUUCUGCCUAUCUGAGCCACCGUGGACGGUGUUUUCAUGACCCCUGGAAGUGAGGAAAGCCUCAGGCGUCCUCGGGGACGUGAGCCCUCUCCCCUCACUCUACUACUCCCGUUCCUCUUCACCUCCUCCGCCUGUAUUCUGUUUGUCUUGCUUGUGCUAGUGCCCCGGAGGACCGAAUUAUGGAUCAACGAGGAGGCAUCCAUCUCCAUCCCGCUCGUGCUAAAAUAAGUGGCCAAUUAACUUGGCGGCGACCGUGUGUGCUUGUCCCCCAUCUGACUGCAGAUUAAUGACCGACCGAGCGCUUUCUCUCCCCGAGCCCAUUUAUCAGAACCAUUUAUCAGAACCAGCCACUAGGCGUCCGGAGCGCUCCCCCCUCUCCUCCCCCCCGGGGCCCCCGGUCCCAGCAUGGCUGUGGGCAAUUGGUUUUAAUUGCUCUCAUUUCUCUUUGCUGUGAGGGGGAAAAGGGACGACUCCGUUGGCAGGUCCUAUUAGCCUGUGAGGCGACAGGAGCUGAGGAUGUCGCACGUCCUGUGAGGGUAGGGUGGUGCAAGACGACUUGUCAUCCACUUCAUUAAAACCUACACCCACUUAGGUGCAGUUGGACUUUCCUUAGACUCGCUGCGGUGUCUUCUGUCUUUUAUCAAAGACAUGACAACCUGUGAUGAGUCUGUAUGGUAGUAAAGAGGUAGGGCUUCUUAUUAAAUGCUUUCAUACAACUUGGGUCUUAUUUUUGGUAGUUUUGGCCAUUGUUUGCAUCUUAAUUUACUACCAAGUAGGAAUAUGACAACAUUGAUUGAAAAAAAGUCCAACGGCACAGGAAAUACAAGCAGUCAGGUGAUAGGACAAGUUUUUAAAAAGUUACUUGGAAUAAAAUAAAGACUAAUAUAGGUUUGAUGAAAACAACGUUACGGUAAACGAUGGAAAUGAUUGCAAAAAGUCACCGUUUGUCAAAAUAAUGUUAACCCAAGGAUUACAAGCAGGGACUGUACAUGGCUUUUACCUCACACUUCAUUUUCUUCACUGUCUUCAUCAGCUGAUUGACCGUCAUAACAUAUGAAGACUGUCAUUUCAGAACCAUAAUAGUUCCUCAGUUACGUAAUAGAAUGUGGUUGUACAAGAAAGAUAUUCAGCCAAAUGGUUCAGAUGGUUAAGAAAAAAACUUUACUUCAAAAUAUAUAUCGAAAUUCUCCCAAUUUAUUCAUUGUACUAAAUAAAGAAAUCGCUUUCUGCAUUGCCUUUAUCAUGUUUUAAGUCUAUGUCUGAAAAUUCAAAUCAGCGUUCCUGGUUCCCAAAUGGAGCUGGAAACACGGCGGUUUGACUCAACAGAAGAAUUUAGCACGUGUCCAUAACCUGAUUAUCCUUAUUAAUGCGUCUAAAAGAGAAGCUUGUGAUACUUCAGUGGCCCAACAUGUUCCCAUUCUACUUCCUCCCCCUUCAGCACCUCAUUAACCAGCAGUAGUUUGGCUGAAAAUGUGAUUAGUGCGUGUAGGUUAGCGAGGGGAAGCCUGAUGAAAUUAGCUCGGCACGGUUGUAAUAGAAUUACCGUGUGUGGGUCAGUCUCUGAGGGCCCGAGGACAUUAGCAGCUUUGAAGGUUAAAGUGAAUCAGGGGUCUUGCAACGCCUUUUUUAUCAGUUGCUAAUUGAGUCCUGAGUCAACAAGUGGGGGCUGUGUGGAGCGCGUGUGCGCGUCUUCUUAUCUCCGUCCGCUGCUUUGGGGACACGUAGAGGUAAUUCCUUUAAAGCUAGAAACGUGCUUGUUUCUUAGUUCUUAUAGUUCUUUUGAACGAUGAGAGACUAGCAAUGUUACAUUUGAUCCCUAAACUGUAACGUGAAAAUUUGCUUUUACCUCGUCACUGAAAGAAGAAGCAGUAUUUGCAAAUGAGGCCCCAUUAUUUAGUUAGAUGUUUGUGUGUCUUUUUUUGUUUCUGUGCCUGCUGCUUUAAGCUAUAAGCGGUUUUCUCACUUUCUAAUCAAAAUAUUUUACAACUGCAAGGAAAUCGAAUAACUCAGAAGACACAAAUUAAGUAGUAAGAAAAGUGAAUGAGAAAGGGAAAGUUAAUUGUCAGAAUCUACUUAAUUUACAAAUGAAAAAGGCAGAUGGCAAACAUCAGUCCAAUAAUCAUAAUUUCUUACUUUUCUAGCAUCUGAUAAGAUUUUUUAUUUAUCCUAAAAACAAGACGAUCACAGGGGUCAUUUUAAACUCCACUGGGUCAAACUGAUGAAAUGGCAGCAUCAAACAGUUUGUUAGGUCUCAAAAGAAAGGAUAAAAGCAUCAGCUAAAUGAUAAAGAAAUAAGAAAUAAGGAAGAAGGAAGAAGGAAGAAGGAAGAAGGAAGAAGGAAAGAGAAGAUAGAAGAACCUUCGGGGCAGAGGAAUGAGCCUUAAUAUUUACACAGUAUGAUUGACAACAAGUCAAGGCUUGUCUUAUCUUAUCUGGUCAUAGUUUUUACAAUCAGAUUGGUCUAUUUGGUAUUUUAUAUUACUACGGAUGAACUGAUGCUCCAGACUGUGUCAUCCUCUAGUGAUCAAAUCAGAAGCUGUUCCUCGCUGCAUGCAGAGCCGGCCAGACUGAAGGAGGGUAUCGAUGGUAUUUGAAAGGCAACGGAGCGCUGCGGCCAGUCUGACCCCGUCCUGCCCCGGCCUUUCAGCGCCGGGCCUUUCAGACGCCACUGGACAAUACCGACUGCUCUCCGGCCUUCAACUGGCCCGUGAGCCGAUUAAGAACCGGACCUGCCACGGAGGGACAGAGCCACGGCCCGACACCACCCACAUCCACCCGCCCCCUCGCCGGGCCUCCGAAGGGGCCCGCUAGUUGCCAAGGUCAGCGGCCGAGCCGACCUCUGAUCUCCCGCCAUGUUUGGACACGUCCGCGCACAAUACGAGGCCCAAGGCAGCUGAUUAGAAUAUGGAAGGGGAUGAAAGAGGGCAAGAGGGCUCCGGACUGUCGCAGGCAUUUGUUUGGGUGCGUGUGUCAAUAUGUGUGUGUUUGUGUUGUUGGCAUGGCGACCUGGUCAGGGACUGUCGGACCACCGGACCUUCACUGGAACCUCCUGCCCUCCCCCAGAUGUGCAGCUCUUGUCUCAGGUCUCUUUGUUUGAGACCAGGAGGGAGGAAUUACACCAGGGAUGAUCCCGUAUUACUGGGCCUGCCGGCCUUUCAGGUCGAGCUUAGUUUUGUUGGCUGGGUCUGGUCUUAUCCUCCUCCCAGUGUUGCCACUAUUGGGUUGAUCCCUUUGAAGUCCUCAUGCACUGACCACCACAUCGGAACAAUACACACAAUCGAAGGUAAUGUGGUGGAUUUGGUGCCAAAUUGAGCAUUACAGAUGUGUGGUUUUGAUUGAGGUGAGUAAAGCAUUUGUUCAGUUUGUUUUAUUACACUGGUAAUAAUAAUGGAUGACAUAUGUGUAUGUAUGUCCCACGUCAUCAGCCCAUAAAACUUUCUGGUUUGCGAGUAAUCAUGUGCCAUGGAUUUGAUGUGUGCUUCAUUCAUUUGCUGGCUUUGUCCUAUUGUCUUUUCUCCCCUAUUAUUUCUUUUGAUGAUAAAUAUUGGAAUGUAAAUCAUUAAAUCAACCCCUAAAUUAAACUU
ensembl:lncRNA